rnacentral:RNase_MRP_RNA from 1 species
CCCCCGCUCGAAGAAUCGCAACGAAGCACACAUACAGAGCAUCUCUCACCGGAUGUCUCCGCUACGCAUGCUUUGGGAGAAAGUCCCCGGACAUCGGGUCUAAUGACCCGCGCUUUCAGCAACGAACCGCCAUAGAAGCGCGGCCUCCCCACAUCAACAUCCGCUUGGCUCCUGCGACCGUAUGCACUCUUUGCUCCUUUGUUAUCGAGGCUCGUGUGGAGGAGCUGGCACCUGGACGACGAUACGAGUCCGCUGGUUUCCGAAGCAUGCCGCCAACGGCCUGAGAAGCUAGGAGGAGGAACAGGAGUACGAGGGCGCGAUGGUGGCUUGGAGGGUUCUCUCGUCCAGUUUAUGGCUAUGCGAUUGCUCGGCCUCGCCUCCAACCUUGUGGAGAUGCGGACGGGUAACUCAAUGGGGCUUAUUCUCGACGCGAGG